AAACUGUUCAGUUAACGGUCUGGUAUGGAAGAAGAUAUGACGCGUGCCAAAAUCCCAUCGGGCAAUUGAACAAAAUGGCGGAGAAGAAUCGUUAGAAUAAUCAUCGCUGUUCAAAGUAACAGCAUUUCUGAUGA